ACUUCUGGGAUCAGAGUGGCUUUUGCAUGACACGUAUCAGAAGUUACUUUAACCCAGGAUGUUCAGCCUAGAGGCCUAACAUUUUGCUUUGCUGCAGCAGUUUGGUGUAAGUCUCUGCCCACCAGUGAACUGCCUCUGAUUCUACAGGCUGCUGCCCCUGCAACAUAGACACAACCAUGCAGGGCCCCUCUAAAAGGGAGACUUGGUUCUCUUCUUCAAGGCGAAGUCCUGUGGCAGGGCGCCAGUCUCCUUCCAUGCGGUAUGCUUUGUUGCUGGCUGCUCCUAAUUCAGUAUCUUGCAAAAUGACAUUCUGUUAAUGACAUGAAUGUCAAAGCUGUGAUAAUGGGCAGAAGUAAAAGAAAACCGUUUCCUAAAUGGGGAAGCAACAGGAAAACUGCCAAGUGGGUAUUAAAAUGAGUUGUGUGGCUGCCCUAUGCCUCAGCGCUUACUUAGUGCCUUCCUAUUUGUUUCUACCAAAGGGAAGUGGCACCCUAAGGGGGGAAGAAUGGCUCACCUCGGUGUGAGCACAGAAAACAAACAAACAACAAUAAAAACAAGGGGUUAAGGCCAUGUUUUCCCUUAAUUAACUUGACAGAUGUCUUUUCUUUUUCUCGUUUGCAUCCAGUGAUUUUUUUUUUUCUUAGUCAUUCUUUUCUUUUGCCAAGAAGGAAUUGGCCAGGAGGAGCCCGUUCUGUUGCUGAAGACAGGAGGGCUGGCGAGAUAGCAGAAGACCCUGGCCUGCAAACUGCUCAGUAUUCAGUCUUCGUGAUGGAUGCUCUUUGGGGCUGUCAAAUGCAGAACCAGUAAAAGAAUCUGGGGUCUGAAAGGAGACUGGUGAUGUAUGAAGAUAGGAUGCCCUACGGAGUGUCAAAUGCAGCCAAAGAAAGAAGCCAUGUGGCUCCUAUAGCCAGGGCCUUAGAUACCAGGUACAUUUAAUGACUUCACAUGCAAAUGUGUAAUUCUGCUUUCACAGGGGCCCAAGAGAGAGCUCUAUUUUUUAUAUAAUGGAGUUCUUAGAAGAGACUCACAAAACAAGGUUUACAAUGAGCAGAUAUGGUUGCUAAUUCCAAGCCCAGUAGAACCUCAUCCUCUAUGGUCUGCAGAAUGGUGAUACAAUUACCAGCUAUCUGCUGGGUAUGGGAGCCAUGAAGGCUGAGGCAGGAUUACUGUUGGUUUGAGGUCAGCCUGGGCUACAGGAUAACAUUCUAUCUC
rnacentral:lncRNA from 1 species